UGAAUAUUCCCUUACCUACCGAUAAAUUUAAACAUUGGAAGAACAACUGAAGGUAUCUCAACAUUGUUGCCACCCUGUAAUGAUUGGAAAAAGAAUGACUGCCUCCUUAUAGCACACUGCAAGAGCGUUUUAGAAGCAGUCAUCAGUAGAAAUGUCGAAAAUAAUGGUUUCAGCUAGAAUGUAAGCUCAUUGAGCAGGGCCCUCCAC